UGACAGUAACAAUGCCCUACUUGCCUGAUGGGUGAGGAAUUUGAGGAGCACAAUUGUUCUUCAUCUUUCCCCCGUGUACAAGAUUGGAAGCAAGAAGAGGAAUCAGUAACCGAGGAAAUACUAUUACAACACCAGCAGCACCUAUCAAUUCUCAGGCAUCUCCUACAUGCCAGGCCCUCCACUCCUCAUUUUAGGCUCAUUAUCUCCAAUUCACACUAUAACCCACAGAACACAUAUUCUUAUCCCCAUUUUACAAAUGAGGAAACUGAGACUCAUGGGAUUUAAAUAACUUGCUUCCUUGUAGCAGGGUCAGGAUUCAAACCUAGGUCAGCCCAAGUCCAAAGUCUGUGUGCUGAACCAUGAGGCCAACAGGAACGGGAAGUGCAAAGGAACAUUGCUAUGAUCAGCUUGUGCAGGGUACGUACUUAU
rnacentral:lncRNA from 10 species